AUUAACUGUCAUUUGAAAUGUAUUUAUGUUUCAUUACAUUCAUUAAUUUUAUUAAUUUAAUAAUGGAGUACUAUUUAUAUUUAGAAAAUUAGCACUUAUCUGAUAUUUCAGUAAUCUAAUUAUGUAUACAGGAACUAGAAAGAUCAGUUUUUAAGAAAUUCCUUCAAAAUUGCUACAGAUAUGUAGUUCACAAGAAAAUUUAGAUUACGAGUAUGUGUGUUUCUGUGACAAUUCGCGAUAUUUGUUUCGUCUUAUAAUCUUAAUAUACAAAUUAGUAUAAAUGGACAUAAAUAUACUGAAACUGAAUUAAUCAACACCAUUACACACACAUGAACAGAAGAAAAAAAUUUUCAAAAAUUAACUAUCAAGAAAAUUAAUUUCAUAAAACAAAAUAAAUUAUCAGUUAAUGAUAAACAAGAAAGCAUUAAUAACUGUUUUGUACAAAUUUUCAAAAUUUUCAGUUUUUGGUAGAUUGCAGUUGGAGUGUAGAAGAAAUGAUAUUAACUUGCAUUGGGGGUAUAGAAGUAGUAGUGUUAACUUGGACUUGAAGGACAGAAGAAGGACAGUUGUAUGCAGUGAGACCUGGUUGUUUGCAUUUAUAGCAUCCCUGACCAUCCAAAUUGAGAAAAAUCUGAUAACUGGAUGUUUCAAAAUUGUAUAUUGUCUGGUAUGAUAACGUUAUUUGAGAUAAGAUCUCCAGGCUCAAAUCCAUAUCCUACCAUGGACUCUUAAGAUUUCCGGAUUUGUAACCAAGUGAACUCGUAUGACAUAGACAUAGCAGAAGAUUGAGAUAUUAAUAGGGUUCUUUUUAAACUCCGCUGCUGAAAUACAAAAAUCAAUAGGGCUCAAAUCUGGACUACAAAGUGGCCGGUUAACAGUUCCAUUAUUACCUGUCCAUAUAAGGAAUGCAUUCUUGAAUAAUUUCGAACGGAUAAGGAGGUGUUCUAUUCUACAUCGAAAUCAUAUGAUCAAGUAGUGAUAAAUAAAAUAUAUUUUUUUAUUAUCUAUGAAAUGAAAACACAAAGGUACCCUAUUGAAUUCUUUCUAUCCCUAAUACUUGCAUGCUAGCACUAAUCAAAUUCGGCCAAGACUAUAAAACUCAAACUGAAAAUUCAAAAGUGUACAUUUGUUAAACAGUUUCUUUCUAUGAAAUUAUCAAUUUUGAUUUACAGUUGACAUCUGAGAUUUGGCGUGUUGAAUCUUCUCGUCUAGUUCACUUCGUGACAAUUUGCCAAAUUUCAAUACAUUAUUUUAGAGACAUAAAAGAAGGACCUUCACCGAUUGAGUAUAACAUUAGUAAUAUUUCUUUGCGUCUCAAGUUCAUUUGCAUUCUAGAAUAGUUUUGAUUCAAUUAUCAACAUUUUUUGGAGCAUUUCUUCAACAUCUUGCUAAAGAAUCAGUUGAGCUACAUUCCCUGGAUUAUCUCUAUGCUUUUUUGUUUUUAACUGAUAUAACAGGUUUUCAAUGAGUUAUAGAUUUAGGAGAUACAUCCUCAUGCAUAAAUUCGGAAUUAUUUCCAAUUACACAUUUCUAAGACUCAACUAUUGGUUGUAAUAGCAAGUGAACGUAUCUCCUACGAAUUGAGUUUGGUUGAAUUGGAAAUAUUUUAUAAAUAUUUUAGUAUUUCCUCUUCCCAAGAUGUCUCUUCCUUCUUCUUCCUUUUCUCUUUCUUCAUUUCAUUCUCCUCUAUUUUACUCUCUACCCAUUCCCUUUUUUUGUUGCCCUUAUUUUUUUUAAUAUAUUGUUGUCGUUGUUGUCUGACGUUGUCGCCGUCUCCUCUUCUUCCUUUUCCAGUACCGUUGAUUGUUUGUCUAUCAUCUCACCGCUCCUAUUGAUUUUUUGUUUUUCCUUUGUAUUUGUAGUAGCUCCUGUUUAAUUAUUACUUGGAAGAGCUUUCUUGCAUUGAAAUAAUGAUUACUUUCUCAAAGUUUGAAUAUUUUAUUAAUAUAUAAAGAAAAAUAUGCCUGCUACAUUACAUAUCAUUUUCAGCGACAACUUAAACAACUGACAUACAUGAAGUUGUCUGCUAACAUUUCACCAACUAACACUCCUCCUCGAUUAAAAUGUUUCACAUAAUGAUACAUGAAAAUCGCCACUCAACUACUUAGCAAACAAAACUUAGACUACACUUACUUUUCUUCUUAAGUAAAUGAAAGCAUUCUUAACUAAAGUUUUAGUUAAUAUAUCAGCUAAAUUUUGUUCUGUUGACACAUAACUUACAGCAACUUCUUUUUUCGUAACUAAGUCUUUUAAAAAAUGAUUCUUAAUAUCUAUGUGCUUAGCUCUCUUAGAAUUUUCAUUGGACUUUGACAUUCAAAUAGAACUUUUAUUAUCACAAUAAAGAACUGCGCCGAUAAUAAUAUUAAAAUCACUCAAAAUACCCUUUAUAUUCACUAGGUCUUGAGCAGAACUAUGAGCCGCUGCCACAUAUUCAGCUUCUGUCGUAGAUAAUGCUACACAGUUUUGCUUCUUUGAAAACCAUGAUAUCGGAUUCAUUCCAUACAGUUUUAUGCAACCACUUACACUCUUUCUGUCAGUCGUAUCUGUUGCCCAAUCAGCAUCUGAAUAUCCCACUUGUUUAAUUUCAUCAGUAGUGUUUUUUAUAGAAUUUUAGCUCCAUUUCUUUUGUUCCCUGCAAAUAACGUAAGAUUCUUUUCGCUGCGUUCCAUACUUCAACUGUAGGUUUAUCUAGAAAUCUACUCAAAUAAGAUACUGAAAAAGACACAUCAGGUCUGGUGAUUGUGGACAGGUACUUAAGUCCCCCUAUUAUGUCGCUUUCACUUAAGUAUUGAAAUCCUUUGACCAUCGGUGUUGUUUUCGAUUUACAUUAUUUCAUGUUAAACUUGUCUAGCAGCUUCUCUAUAUACUUCUUCUGAUUUAUUACUAUUUUAUUUUCUGUUCUUGUUAUAUCCAUACCUAGAAAAUUCUUUAUUUUACCUAUAUCAUUUGCAUUAAAAUAAUUCUUCAAUAAAUUGACUACUGUUUCCACUUCUUUUUCUUCUCCGACUACCAACAUGUCAUCGACAUAAAUAAGGAUCCAUACUUUUCCAUUACGAUACAAACAACAAUCAUAUUUUGAUCUUUCAAAUUUGUUCUUACUUGCAAAGUCAUUAAAUGUAUCAUUCCAUAUUUUAGGAGACUCUUUCAAUCCAUAUAAAAAUCUGUUUAAUUUUAAAACUGGUGAUAUUGACUUUAGACCAGGUUUUGCAUAGAUAUAUACUUCAUUUUUCAAAUAACCAUUAAGAAAAGCCGUUGGAAUGUCCAACUGUCUUAUUUUAAAAUUUUGUUGCAAUGCAAUUGAUAGAACCAAUCUUAUGGUUGACAUUCGAGCAACAGGUGAAUAGACAGGUUUCAAAUGGAUGCUCCUCCUUCAUCUGAAAGCCUCUAGCCACCAAUCUUGCUCUCUUUGUUCCAUCUUCCUUUGUUCUGUAUACCCAUUUAGUCUCAGUUGCUGUUUUUCCUGUAGGUAGAUUCGCUUCAGACCACGUUUUCAAAUUUUCGUGCGAGUUUAACUCCUUUUCCAUAGCAUCUUUCCAAUCUUUCACUUUCACCGCAUCUUCAUAUUGUACUCGAUCAUUAUCUAAUGAUAUUAGACAGUAGGCGUAUUCACAGUUCUCCCGUUAGAGGUUGUAUCUGUUCUUGGUAAAUACUCUUUAAAACAUCUGAACUUUCGGACUCUUCCAAAGUUAUUUCUUCUGAGUCACUCUCUUCUUCGAUUUCAAUUUCAAUGUUAUCUUCUUUAUCCCUUAAUUCAGUUUCUUCAUCAAAUCUUAUUCUUAUUUGUUCAUUCGCAUAGUCAGGUUUUGUUUCGAUAUUUCUUCGAAACUCGUUUGAUUUUCAUUAAAUUUCACAUCUCUUGAGCAGAAAAUUUCACAUUUUUCAUUAUCCCAUAAUCCGUAUGUACCCUACCAUUAUACACGGUUGUGCUCGUCUAUUUAGUUUACUUUGUCUUGGCAAAAUAGUUGCCCUUGCCUGAGAUCCAAAAAUUCUCAAUCUUGAUAGAUCGUUGUGACCAUACCAUCGUGUGGCUGGAGUUUCUUCAAAAUUUGCCAUAGUAGGCAGAACAUAGAAUUGCUUCGCCCCAUAUCUCUCUUGGUAAGUUGGUUUUUGAAAACUUUGUCCUUACCUUAUCUAAAAGUGUCCGAUUCAUCUGUUCUGAAAUACCAUUCUGCUGCGGAGUAUGUGGCCUCGUAUACUCCAGCUGAAUCCCUUAGAUUUAUAAAAAUUUUCAAAGUAAUUAGAAGUAAAUUCUCCCCCAUUGUCCAAUCUAAUUCUUUGAGUUCUAAGCCCAUGUUUCGUUUUAAUGAGUUUAAUAAAAUCUAUAACAUUUUGUUCGCUUUCAUUUUUAUCUUUCAAUAGCUUAACAACUUAAAAAUGAUAAACUUGAAAAUACUUGUUACGUUCUGGCGUAGGAGUUUUUAUAUCUGUAUAUAUCAAUUCCCCUAUUUUUGUAGUUUUCUUUCCACAUCUAUAAAAAGAUGGAAACUUUUCUGAGAUACAUUAGUGAUCCAGGAUUCCAAAGUGGUGUUGCCAACGAGAUGGGGGUUGAAAGAAGUACCGUCAGCAGAACAUUUUCAAGUGUAUUGGAUAAAAUAGUGUCAAAGUCUGAAGAUUGGAUUAAAUUUCCACGCACUAUUGAAGAUAUGGAUCAGGCCAAUGCAGAUUGGGCUUCAAAAUUUCGCAUUCCGACUGUCAUUGGUGCUAUAGAUUGCACUCACGUGCAUAUAUGUGAACAGAAAAGGAAAAACAACAAUAAACAUUCAGAUGACUUGUGACGCUAAUGAAAAAUUACAAGUGUGGAUGCUCAAUGGCCAGGGAGUGUACAUGAUGGCAGGAUUUGGCGAGUGAGUGGAAUUCAGGACGUGGUGCGCCGAUAUGAUGGUGAUGUUUGUCUCCUUGGUGAUAGCGGAUAUGAAAUUACUCCUUGGUUACUGACUCCUUUUGACGAACCAAGAAAUGCUCGUGAGCGGAAUUACAAUUCGACCCAUGCUCAGGAAAGAGUAAUAAUUGAACGAGUUUUUGGCCAGAUGAAACGUCGUUUUCCCAUACUCUCGAGCCAAAUUAGAAUAGCAGUCAAAAAUGUUCCCAAUUUAGUAAUAAGUUGUGCAAUGCUUCACAAUGUAGCAAAACAUUUGAAUGAUGCUUGGGAAGAGGAAGACGGAAUCGAAAAUUUAGAUCGGAAUGAAGUUAUAUAUAAACGACGUGGUCAGCAAAAACGAUUAGAAAUUAGUAAUAAUCUGAUGAUGUAAAUACUCAUUUUUGACAUGGAAAUAAAUUUAAUCCUAUUUCCUUUACUCCAAUUGCAAUCGCAUAUGUGAAAAAAUAAAAUAAAAAAUAUAUAAAAAAACAAACA